UGACGUUAGCGGCGGACGGGUGAGUAACACGUGGGUAACCUACCUAUAAGACUGGGACAACUUCGGGAAACCGGAGCUAAUACCGGAUAAUAUGUUGAACCGCAUGGUUCAAUAGUGAAAGAUGGUUUUGCUAUCACUUAUAGAUGGACCCGCGCCGUAUUAGCUAGUUGGUGAGGUAACGGCUCACCAAGGCAACGAUACGUAGCCGACCUGAGAGGGUGAUCGGCCACACUGGAACUGAGAUACGGCCCAGACUCCUACGGGAGGCAGCAGUGGGGAAUAUUGCACAAUGGGCGCAAGCCUGAUGCAGCGACGCCGCGUGAGUGAUGAAGGUCUUAGGAUCGUAAAACUCUGUUAUUAGGGAAGAACAAACGUGUAAGUAACUGUGCACGUCUUGACGGUACCUAAUCAGAAAGCCACGGCUAACUACGUGCCAGCAGCCGCGGUAAUACGUAGGUGGCAAGCGUUAUCCGGAAUUAUUGGGCGUAAAGCGCGCGUAGGCGGUUUUUUAAGUCUGAUGUGAAAGCCCACGGCUCAACCGUGGAGGGUCAUUGGAAACUGGAAAACCUGAGUGCAGAAGAGGAAAGUGGAAUUCCAUGUGUAGCGGUGAAAUGCGCAGAGAUAUGGAGGAACACCAGUGACGAAGGCGACUUUCUGGUCUGUAACUGACGCUGAUGUGCGAAAGCGUGGGGAUCAAACAGGAUUAGAUACCCUGGUAGUCCACGCCGUAAACGAUGAGUGCUAAGUGUUAGGGGGUUUCCGCCCCUUAGUGCUGCAGCUAACGCAUUAAGCACUCCGCCUGGGGAGUACGACC
rnacentral:rRNA from 1 species